CUUACUUCAAAGUCCUUACACAUUCUUGGGGUUCUUUGCAGGGGCAACAGGCACCGGUUUGCUAUGCGAAUAGCUGAAGCCAUUGGAAAACUCCCCCACAGCGUCAAGCGGCCCCUUCCAGCUCUCUAUAACUUCCGGCAUUGCCUUUCCUUGCUCCCAGGACAACACUAAUGGCCACUAUGGCCAUGUGACACCAGAAGUGUGCAGGCAUAUCUCGGUCAGAAAGUGAUGGGCUGGAGAGCUGCAGGAGAAACUGGAAGGUUGGUAGCGCUGGGCGCAGCGACGGGGAAAUGAGGCCGGUGGAAGGACGCGCUGCCCUGCCCGACCGGUGCUCUACCGGAGCCUCCUCGAAGUCAGGGCUCACCGCUGUCACACCGCGAGCUCCAGGAGAGCUCCUGCCUGUGAGCUGCAAGUGGAUGAAGCUGUGAUCCGGAGUCCGCAGUUCCAGAGGACCCGCGUCUCUGAGUCCGGAGCUGAGGCAGAGCCGCUGCACCUCCCAGGGCGGAGACCCUGACCACUGGAACCAGCCGACUCGGGGUUGAGCGACUCCAUCCAGCCUCCUUCGGCUAGGGAAAAUUGCUCUGCUGGCCGCACCCUGGACGACUGAGGAGAAGGAGAACCCCAGCAUCAGCCUCGCUCCCCUUCUCCCCUAGAUAAGCGCUCCAGCUGCAGCGGCUGGCGUCAGGGAAACGGGCCCUAGCAAGCCAGUCCUGUUCUGUGACUGGCUGCCAGACUUCUUCGCUCACGUGUGCUAUCACCAAUUAACAAGAGGUAGUUUGGCUUUAUCUCUUGAAUAUAAAACUCGGUGCAAUCUAAGAGAUGGUUAAUGUCACCCUCCCGGGCCCUCCCACUGGCCCUUUCCAUUGGCAAACUACCAGCGCAGGCCAGGAGCUUCUUGCGCUUAACGACGGAAACUGGGCACCGCUGGCUCCGUCUGUGAAGGACGCCCCAGUCUCUCUCUACUGCCCUAAGUUGGCCUUGGCAUAUUGUCAUCUAGAAAUGAGCCUUGGCAAGCUUUACUAAGCUGAAUUUUUGUUGCUAAAACCAGAGACUAGCCUGUGAUAAAUAAAUAUUUUUUUUAAGUCUCCCCUAGCUGGGGACAACCACCCUAGCUGGGGACAACUAGGUAAGAGUGCUCAAUCGCUGAAGUUCCCGGAAGCUUUUUCCCAAGGCUCCCGCUCUCUUCCGUUGUUUUACUGCCCUUAUCCCAAUAACAUUAACUGAACAAUAUGCAAGGUGUGUCUUGAAGACCUUUGUCACAAAUGAGACAACCUAGACUGGGUAGGUAUUCCUGCUUACCCUGCCUGGUCAAACAAACAAACAAAGGCUCAACAAAAAUCAACAUCGGUUUUUUA